GCUAAAACUGAGCUCUUGUCACACAACCAGGAAGGAUUAGGCUCGUAGACACAUAGAAGGGUGAGGAAAAUGAAAGUUAUUCGGGGAAAAGAGAAAAGGGAAAACAAAACAAACAAACAAAAAACAAACAAACAAACAAAAAAACACCUUUCAGCAAGAUGAAAGAGUCCUGCUACCAGGCUUCCCGACUCACAGAUUGAAUCCCAGGUCACCACACAGGAAGAGGAGAGGCCAGGAUCUUCCCCUCUGCAAAUGGCAUGAAGUUCCUGAGGCCGCCCUCCAUCCUCCCAGUACACAGAUCCUGACCUGCCUCACCUGAAGAUGCUGGUCCCUGGUAAAGCAUCAUCUUCAGCAGGAAGUAAGAAUCAAGACUUCGAAGGACCAUGAAAAGAGGAACAUGCAGGACAGUGAAAAGAUUGGCAACGUCAAGGAGACCAUAGCUCAAAAGAUUAACUCAAUCUGUGGAUGGAAAAUGACAACCAGAGGGGCAAUUUCUUCACUCCUAAGAUGCCUUAUUUCAAUCUCAUAACAGCCAUAUCAAGUGACUUGCCUGAAACCCGUAAGUGGCUGAUCUGGGACUAGAAUCUAGUUCUUCCAAUUAUAAGUCCCAUGGUCUUCCCUAUAAAGGCCAGCAGCCAACCUUCUGAAGCAAAAGACAUCUAAAUGAGAAAAAUGGGAAGAUGCUGGAGAAGUCGGUUAUCUUUAUUUUUCCAGGCAGAGAAAAAGACUGAAUGGCAGAUAGAUUUUUUUUCUAGCCUCCUACGCAAACUGGAGGUCAGGUGGUGGGGAACAGGGGUUAAGUCACCUUUGAAAAAUAGCCCCAUCUCAAAAGGCUAUAUAUUCAGUGAUAAACUUAAUAGGCUCUCUAGAAUCUGAAUCAAGAGUCCAAUCUUGUACCCACUGAGAGAAUGUCCAUCUUUAUACAAUUGUCACCCAUGCUCAGCAUCAGCAUUCCCAGUGAUGGGGAGUUUAUCGCAUCCCUAAACCACUAUCCUGGACAGAUCUCAUGGAUAUGAAGUGCUUUCUCACAUUGGUCUUAAACGUGCU
rnacentral:lncRNA from 1 species